UUUACAUCUUGGAAGAACUCUUUGGAUCUUCUUUGUGAUACAAUGAGAAAUUAAUAAAAACAGUCUGUAAGUCUUGGUUACCUCUAAUUUUGCCAACUAAAGCCCCAUUCAACCACUCAAAAUAAUAAGAAAGAAAUGAGCCAAACUCCAAACUCAGAUGAUCUAGCAAAUAGUGGAUGAAGAGUGUGUAAGUCUCACAAAAAGGCCUAUAAAAUUUUGUUAUGAAAUUCCAAGAAUAAAUAACUUAGAACUUGCAAUUUAAUUUAUAUAAUAUUGGACCAUAUUUUUAAUAUAUAA